ensembl:lncRNA
UUUCUCCCCUCUUAGGUCUGUCUGGGAAAGUCAGUGUUGUUUUCUGUCUGAGGAUAAUUAACCCACUGGGUCUUGAAUUUCCUAGAUGGGGGUCCACGAACAGCUCCUCUUUAGUUUGUGCUUACUGGGUACCAUACAGGCGUGGGCUAAUUCACCCUGUGACUCUGGAUCACUCAUUUACUUCUCACAUCAGCCUUCUGACACAGGUGGUGUUCUUCCAGUCUCACAGCUGCCAGAAUUGGUUCCGUCUUCCCAUUCCCCCAGGGAAAGAGUGAGAAUGUGGCAGUGUCAAAAAAUCAUGGUGGUGGAGUUCCUACUGUGGCUCAGCAGUAAUGAACCAGGCUAGUAUCUUUGAAGACGCUGGUUCGAUCCCUGGCCUCGCUCAGUGGGUUAAGGAUCUGAAGUUACCAUCAACUGUGGUGUAAGUCGCAGACGUGGCUUGGAUCCCAUGUUGCUGUGGCUGUGGUGUAGGCCGGCAGCUGUAGCUUCAACUUGACCCCUAGCCUGGGAACUUCAGGUGUGGCCCUAAAAAGGAAAAAAAAAAAAAUCCUCAGUGGAAUAAAGCUGAAAAUAUAUGAAGAAGGAAAUGGGCA